AUUGAACGCUGGCGGCAUGCCUUACACAUGCAAGUCGAACGGCAGCACGGGAGCAAUCCUGGUGGCGAGUGGCGAACGGGUGAGUAAAGUAUCGGAACGUGCCCAGUCGUGGGGGAUAACGUAGCGAAAGUUACGCUAAUACCGCAUACGAUCUAUGGAUGAAAGCGGGGGAUCGCAAGACCUCGCGCGAUUGGAGCGUCCGAUAUCAGAUUAGGUAGUUGGUGGGGUAAAGGCUCACCAAGCCGACGAUCUGUAGCUGGUCUGAGAGGACGACCAGCCACACUGGGACUGAGACACGGCCCAGACUCCUACGGGAGGCAGCAGUGGGGAAUUUUGGACAAUGGGCGAAAGCCUGAUCCAGCCAUGCCGCGUGCAGGAUGAAGGCCUUCGGGUUGUAAACUGCUUUUGUACGGAACGAAAAGGUUUGGGCUAAUAAGCUGGGCUCAUGACGGUACCGUAAGAAUAAGCGCCGGCUAACUACGUGCCAGCCGCCGCAGUAA
rnacentral:rRNA from 1 species